CCAACGGGUGGCAGCAGUGGGGAAUAUUGGACAAUGGGGGCAACCCUGAUCCAGCCAUGCCGCGUGUGUGAAGAAGGCCCUCGGGUUGUAAAGCACUUUCAGUGAGGAAGAACGCCUGGUGGUUAAUACCCAUCAGGAAAGACAUCACUCACAGAAGAAGCACCGGCUAACUCCGUGCCAGCAGCCGCGGUAAUACGGAGGGUGCGAGCGUUAAUCGGAAUUACUGGGCGUAAAGCGCGCGUAGGUGGCUUGAUAAGCCGGUUGUGAAAGCCCCGGGCUCAACCUGGGAACGGCAUCCGGAACUGUCAAGCUAGAGUGCAGGAGAGGAAGGUAGAAUUCCCGGUGUAGCGGUGAAAUGCGUAGAGAUCGGGAGGAAUACCAGUGGCGAAGGCGGCCUUCUGGACUGACACUGACACUGAGGUGCGAAAGCGUGGGUAGCAAACAGGAUUAGAUACCCUAGUAGUC
rnacentral:rRNA from 1 species